rnacentral:hammerhead_ribozyme from 1 species
AUCCAGCUGACGAAUCCCAAUCAAGACGAAACACGCGUCCUGGAU